ACAAGGACACCAUGUUGCCAACCGAGCAUCUGAAACCGAAACUAGACAGUGUUCAAUAAUUCACACAAUACACAACAGUACUCUCGCAUAAAAGGUUAGAACAUGCGGGACGCGGAUGAGCGCCUAGUUCAAAUCACUGUCGCUGAUGACGGCUCAAGAAACGGGAGGAUGUGGCCUGUCUUGCUCACUCUUCUUGCGUCGUGAUUGGUUCCUCGGCGUUCUCAUCGGCUAAUGCGGCUAUCUCAUUGGCUGCGGAGCGAUGAUAAAAGGUUUCAGGAACUAUGGUUCAAACAACACGGACGAUGGGAGCAGGCAACGCGUGACCGCGGCCCAGCAGGAACUCGAUACAUUUAUGUUCGAGAACCCCUCUCUGGUACGCGGUGCAACUGAGCUUAGCCCCAGCCUGUCCAGAGACGACAAAGUUCGUCUCUGGACCGAGCUAAUGGAAACGUUACUGGGCCGUGCGGGUGUCAAAGGCGCGGGCAGCCAAGCUGGCGAAAAAGGCGAGGCAAACAGGGGGAGGAGGCGGCCGGGUGCGCUCACUGGCGUCGUCAUACGCACGCAUUUUGACACUGGUGGGCGAGGACUCGGCCCUGGGCGCCCCUGGGUUUUCCAUCCCGGCUUUUGAGGAGGAGGCCGAGGGGAGACCUGCAGGUGCCCAGACAGGUCACGGGCAGCAGGCAGCCGAGCCGGUGCCCUCCACCUGACGGGAUGUGAGGCCAGCUGCAAGGCCCCGGGUGCAGCCCACGGCGCCUCGUGCCACCCCCCGAUUGUCGAGGCAGGAGCGGCACGACGAGGCUGCCAUGCAGACUGUCGCCAACCAAACUCUCCAGCUGCAGCAGAACGAGACGAGGGGUGCGCGGGACGUGGAAUUCCAAGUCCAGGUCCUGCGUUCCAUCGAGACCCUCAGCCACCGCAUGGAGGCUGUUGCGGAAGCGAACCAGGAGCAAGCUCGCGAUCCGCGUGCUCGUCGAAGUCGUUCUGCUGCUGACUGCCGAGAGAAGCCGAGCCCAGCGAAGCCAAGACAUGCCGAGCCCUGCCCAGCCACCCCUCGUGCAGCCCAGCCUAGUCCAGCCCCGUC